rnacentral:lncRNA from 1 species
ACUAGCAUGGGGAGGGGGUGGAUGAAAGGCAAGUAAGAAAGGAGCAGGAGAAGCCACCCCACUUCCUAAGCUAUGAGAGAAACAGAAGCCAACACCACUGUUGCCAUAUUAACAAGUUCUUUUGUGUCACAUUUCUUGCUGCUGCUGCGGAGAGAAGGGGAAGUGGGAGAUGGGAUAUGGCACAGCUGUCUGUGGAAGGAGCCUGAGCUGUACAACUGGUAGUUUAGCUCCAGUGGGAAGUCCUCACUGAUGUCCAGGUCGGGCGAGCUGGCCCACAAGUGCCUCGGGCCUGAAUCUUGCUUGAUCCUUGGUCCAUCCCUGUGUCUCCUCCGCCAUUUUGAUGACCACAGUCCAGGCAUACAGAGGAGGCAGCCUGACUAACUGGCAUGCAUUACUGUCUGUGUCAUGCCACGUACAUUCAUGAAAUACAGUGUGGUGAGAUCACAAUUGGAAAAUUUCCUCACAAACAGUUAUAUUCUCUGACUUUUUAUAGAAGCAAAACUAAAUGGAUCAUAUACUUAAAAGCAGAUGGAUUCUUUUUUCUAGGGACAUCCCAUCUGAGAAAUGUCUAGCAAGCAAAUACCCCAUGAAUAUUCACCAAGUGGUUACCCAGGGAUAACCGCAGGAAACACAAAAGCAAUUUUCUUGGCUAUCAUCGCUUUAAUGUGAAGUUGAAGCCCCAAUCCAUGCACAGGCACAUCCCUUGACUUUGGGGAAUGGCAGCUGUGCUCAGAGAGCAGGGCAGAGCCUUUACCUGGCAUGACAAUGGUCUUCGGGGUGGCCACGUCGGCACUGAGGCAGAGUCGCCCGCCUCUCGCCAAUCUGUCACACAGCAGGCUGAUGUGUUUCUUCAGCUGGCUCGUGUCCCUGGGCAUGUUCAGGUGGCUGCUGAGGUUCAAAGCUUGCUCCUUGGGACUCUUUGACAGGGAUUCCACAAGGCAAACAGAGAAUACAGAUGAUUUUAAAGUGAUCCUGAAAAUCCUGGACUGGAGACCUCGAAGACUACAGAAACAACUUCUGACCCCAAACCACUAAAGAACAAUAAACCACUGGUUACCAUAAGGAUAACUCUCUACCACUACCAAAAGCUAAACUAGACAAAUACUAAAGACUAGACUAAAAUUGGCCAGAUGUCAUUAGGACAAAUCUUCAAGUUAAUUCUGAAGCCUUUGACAAAGACCUCUGGAAAGUAAAAAGCAAAG